rnacentral:rRNA from 1 species
AGAAUCAACGCUGGCGGCGUGCCUAACACAUGCAAGUCGAACGCGAAAGUGGAGCAAUCCAUAAGUAGCGUGGCAAACGGGUGAGUAACGCGUGGGCGACCUGCCUCAGAGUGGGGGAUAACCUUCCGAAAGGAGGGCUAAUACCGCAUGACAUCCCGUGUUUAGAUACACGGUGAUCAAAGCCGGGGAUCGUAAGACCUGGCGCUUGGAGAGGGGCCCGCGUCCGAUUAGCUAGUUGGUGAGGUAAUGGCUCACCAAGGCUCCGAUC